UACGUAGGUGGCAAGCGUUGUCCGGAUUUACUGGGUGUAAAGGGCGUGUAGCCGGGCUGACAAGUCAGAUGUGAAAUCCGGGGGCUCAACCCCCGAACUGCAUUUGAAACUGUUGGUCUUGAGUAUCGGAGAGGCAGGCGGAAUUCCUAGUGUAGCGGUGAAAUGCGUAGAUAUUAGGAGGAACACCAGUGGCGAAGGCGGCCUACUGGACGGUGACUGACGCUGAGGCUCGAAAGCGUGGGGAGCAAACAGG
rnacentral:rRNA from 1 species